rnacentral:rRNA from 1 species
UACGGGGGGAGCAAGCGUUGUUCGGAUUUACUGGGCGUAAAGCGUGCGCAGGCGGUUCUGUAAGACAGGUGUGAAAUCCCCGGGCUUAACCUGGGAACUGCAUUUGUGACUGCAUAGCUAGAGUACGGCAGAGGGGGAUGGAAUUCCGCGUGUAGCAGUGAAAUGCGUAGAUAUGCGGAGGAACACCGAUGGCGAAGGCAAUCCCCUGGGCCUGUACUGACGCUCAUGCACGAAAGCGUGGGGAGCAAACAGG